GAGACCCCAGCUGUGGAGGGGACCCCCAGGUUCGAGGUGAUUCUCAGGGGAACUCUGGGUCAGACCGGCUGAACUGGUGACCGAGGGAAAAGUGUGGGGGGUUGGGGGGAAAAGGGAGAGAGCCGAUGGCUGCAGCUAGCCGAGAGGAUCCAAAGGCGAAGUCCCACCCUGAAUGAGAUAAUGCCAAGCUGCCUGUUGGAUGGGUAAUCUAUUUUAAUAUGGAACUUUGUCUUCAACGAUGACUGUCAUCAACUCAUAUGUGAAUGCGACUUACUGGUGUAAGAGCCACGUCAGCAGCCAUGAGCUGUUGCCAAGAGGAUGACAGUGUGAAGACAACUGGGGAGAGACCGUGUCCUUCAGGACAGGACAGACUAUACUGCUGUAACAAAUGCUACCAAAAUCUCAGUGGUUGAAUACACAAAAAGGCUCCCGGGAGGCUGUCCUUGAUGCUUGUCUUUCCAACCUGCUUCAUCCCUUUGACAUCUCCCCGAGCACACAACAGGACAAGGAGCAGGAAGAAUUGCACACCAAACCUGAGAACCUGAGUGCUUUCACUCACAAAUGACCCAAGGCUUUCUCAAUUGCAUUGCUUAAGGGACGUUGUGCUAAGUUCAAACUUUAAGGAACUACAUGCUCAAAGGGAACAGGAAGUAGUAAGUUUGUGAUAGUGGAUAAUAUGGCCCACAGUGAUCCAUUUAGAGGAAGUUAGGGAUAAAAUUAAACUAAAGCAGGUUAGCAGAAAUCACAGUUGGGAGGCUGUAGCACUGUGUGGCGUUUGGGGCGGGGACCAUUAAUGUUGUGCUGUUUUAAUACAAUAUGAAUGAGAAAAACACUUGUCAGUCUACUCCAGCUCCCUCUACUCCAGCUCAGUCUACUCCAGCUCAGUCUACUCCAGCUCAGGCUACUCCAGCUCAGUCUACUCCAGGCCAGUGUACUCCAGGUCAGUCUACUCCAGCUCAGGCUACUCCAGCUCAGUCUACUCCAGCUCAGUCAACUCCAGCUCAGUCUACUCCAGCUCAGGCUACUCCAGCUCAGUCUACUCCAGGCCAGUGUACUCCAGGUCAGUCUACUCCAGGUCAGUCUACUCCAGCUCAGGCUACUCCAGCUCAGUCUACUCCAGGCUCUGGUUGUCCAGACUCAUCUGUGACAUAUUGUCUUGGUUCUUCCCCAGGGAUCAUAUCUACCUUAAAUGUGUAAGACUACAA